UGUCACUGGUGUCACCUGGUGUCCUGGGUAUACAGACCUGUCAGCUCAUUGUUCUGUGUUUGUAGCUCCUGUGGAUUUAAUCCUUGUACUUUUGUUACCGUUGUCUUUCUGGUUCCUUGUUUUUUUUUUUUUUGCCUGGUCCUGAUUCGAGAGUCUCCUGAUGUUCCAACAGAUGAAGGUCCUCAUCAUGUUGCUUCAACCACAAAACCAGCUUCCAAGUUCCUCUCCUGCUGCCUUCUUCCCUCAACAGCCUGACGCUUGGCCCUUCAAGGCGGUGGCUGCGUUUGUGGGGAAGGCAGUCUUUGUCUGCGCCAGGAGGGGGAACCGAAGAAGAAGAGAGACGGGGAUCAAAGACAGAACACAAAAACAUCCAAGGACCCUCUGCUCUGAUAGAGAAAGAGAAUCGAUGAGCUUUGGACUGAGAGAGGUUUCAUCAUCACUGCCCUGCAUUUGGACCCUGCUUCUCACUGGUGGUCCCAACUAUGCAACUGAGCCAUAAAGGUGAGACUUCAUUGAUUCCUGCAGAGUAGACUCUUUAUACUCGCCCUCUGUCGGUCUGGUUCACCGGCUCAGGUGCACAGCCAAACCUCUGGGGUUCAACCUGAACUGCUGGGCCACCAGUGAUCUGUAAAAACAAGGCUGGGUCGACGCUAAUCCAACCAUCCAACACAUUACAAAUGUCACACAUAACAGUAGACCAUCAAAACAACGUAUCCUUGUAAAUCGGAUUAGUUCUAUGUCCUUAACUGAACGUUUUUCUGUCCCUAGUUGUCUCUGUGUCGUACAGCAAUCCCGUUAUUAGGUGGAAAUGUCAGAUAUUUUCAUUCAAACACUCGUACUCAACAACGUGCCAAUCCAUCAACUCUGUAUCUUGUAAUGGCUUCACUCCACUACCAGCCGCCUAGUGGUCAAAAAACAUAAUGAUGUGCUUUCCUACUGCAGGUCAUUGUCUCAUCGGCCUCAUGGGUAAAAAAAAGUUUGUUGUUAAAAGAAGUAAAAGAAACUGAGAAUCUCAUCUUUCUUUAUUGUUUAAAUGUAAUCUGAAUAUUUUUUGCGGACAUGUUCGAAGUGCAGUCAACCUAUUCAAAUUCUAUUUCAAAGGAAAAAAAAUCUCACUACAUUUUAAUCAAGCUCAAAAUGUUAAAUUGACCAUAGAAAGGUACACACCAUUUAUUUCCAGUGAGGCCGUGGCGUGGAGAUGGAAACCCUUUAAUGUUGGAAUGUAACGCCAACAUUUGCUGAGACUGUUACAUGUCUCCGUCCAGACUGCCGUGCUAAAGCAUUUAAGCCUCCACGGAGCUGACAGCUCUGGCAGACCACCACCGGCCGGUCUUUAGGCUGCUGCCAGCGGCUGAGUGUUCUGCUCUGAGCGCGCUGUGCAACCUGACAACGUCUGUGUGACAGCCCGGACCUUCACACUGACCAGAACCCCUUCCCCUGCUACCUGCCCAGCCGCUGAUGUCAUCAUUGCUCCACCACACACACUUAUGCAUUCACACAAACACACGCGAGGCGAAGUCUUUGCUCUACCAUUCUCCCUCAGCCACUACCUUCCGCUGUUU